rnacentral:rRNA from 1 species
AACGAACGCUGGCGGCAUGCCUAACACAUGCAAGUCGAACGAGACCUUCGGGUCUAGUGGCGCACGGGUGCGUAACGCGUGGGAACCUGCCCUUAGGUUCGGAAUAACUCCCCGAAAGGGGUGCUAAUACCGGAUAAUGUCUUCGGACCAAAGAUUUAUCGCCUUUGGAUGGGCCCGCGUUGGAUUAGCUAGUUGGUAGGGUAAAAGCCUACCAAGGCGACGAUCCAUAGCUGGUCUGAGAGGAUGAUCAGCCACACUGGGACUAAGACACGGCCCAGACUCCUACGGGAGGCAGCAGUGGGGAAUAUUGGACAAUGGGCGAAAGCCUGAUCCAGCAAUGCCGCGUGAGUGAUGAAGGCCUUAGGGUUGUAAAGCUCUUUUACCCGGGAUGAUAAUGACAGUACCGGGAGAAUAAGCGCCGGCUAACUCCGUG